AGAGUUUGAUCAUGGCUCAGAUUGAACGCUGGCGGCAGGCCUAACACAUGCAAGUCGAACGGUAACAGGAAGCAGCUUGCUGCUUUGCUGACGAGUGGCGGACGGGUGAGUAAUGUCUGGGAAACUGCCUGAUGGAGGGGGAUAACUACUGGAAACGGUGGCUAAUACCGCAUAACGUCGCAAGACCAAAGAGGGGGACCUUCGGGCCUCUUGCCAUCAGAUGUGCCCAGAUGGGAUUAGCUUGUUGGUGAGGUAACGGCUCACCAAGGCGACGAUCCCUAGCUGGUCUGAGAGGAUGACCAGCCACACUGGAACUGAGACACGGUCCAGACUCCUACGGGAGGCAGCAGUGGGGAAUAUUGCACAAUGGGCGCAAGCCUGAUGCAGCCAUGCCGCGUGUAUGAAGAAGGCCUUCGGGUUGUAAAGUACUUUCAGCGGGGAGGAAGGUGUUGUGGUUAAUAACCACAGCAAUUGACGUUACCCGCAGAAGAAGCACCGGCUAACUCCGUGCCAGCAGCCGCGGUAAUACGGAGGGUGCAAGCGUUAAUCGGAAUUACUGGGCGUAAAGCGCACGCAGGCGGUCUGUCAAGUCGGAUGUGAAAUCCCCGGGCUCAACCUGGGAACUGCAUUCGAAACUGGCAGGCUUGAGUCUUGUAGAGGGGGGUAGAAUUCCAGGUGUAGCGGUGAAAUGCGUAGAGAUCUGGAGGAAUACCGGUGGCGAAGGCGGCCCCCUGGACAAAGACUGACGCUCAGGUGCGAAAGCGUGGGGAGCAAACAGGAUUAGAUACCCUGGUAGUCCACGCCGUAAACGAUGUCUACUUGGAGGUUGUGCCCUUGAGGCGUGGCUUCCGGAGCUAACGCGUUAAGUAGACCGCCUGGGGAGUACGGCCGCAAGGUUAAAACUCAAAUGAAUUGACGGGGGCCCGCACAAGCGGUGGAGCAUGUGGUUUAAUUCGAUGCAACGCGAAGAACCUUACCUGGUCUUGACAUCCACAGAACUUUCCAGAGAUGGAUUGGUGCCUUCGGGAACUGUGAGACAGGUGCUGCAUGGCUGUCGUCAGCUCGUGUUGUGAAAUGUUGGGUUAAGUCCCGCAACGAGCGCAACCCUUAUCCUUUGUUGCCAGCGAUCCGGUCGGGAACUCAAAGGAGACUGCCAGUGAUAAACUGGAGGAAGGUGGGGAUGACGUCAAGUCAUCAUGGCCCUUACGACCAGGGCUACACACGUGCUACAAUGGCGCAUACAAAGAGAAGCGACCUCGCGAGAGCAAGCGGACCUCAUAAAGUGCGUCGUAGUCCGGAUUGGAGUCUGCAACUCGACUCCAUGAAGUCGGAAUCGCUAGUAAUCGUGGAUCAGAAUGCCACGGUGAAUACGUUCCCGGGCCUUGUACACACCGCCCGUCACACCAUGGGAGUGGGUUGCAAAAGAAGUAGGUAGCUUAACCUUCGGGAGGGCGCUUACCACUUUGUGAUUCAUGACUGGGGUGAAGUCGUAACAAGGUAACCGUAGGGGAACCUGCGGUUG
rnacentral:rRNA from 1 species